GACGAACGCUGACGGCGUGCUUAACACAUGCAAGUCGAACGGUAAGGCCCUUCGGGGUACACGAGUGGCGAACGGGUGAGUAACACGUGGGUGAUCUGCCCUGCACUUCGGGAUAAGCCUGGGAAACUGGGUCUAAUACCGGAUAGGACCCUGGGAUGCAUGUCCUGGGGUGGAAAGCUUUUGCGGUGUGGGAUGGGCCCGCGGCCUAUCAGCUUGUUGGUGGGGUGAUGGCCUACCAAGGCGACGACGGGUAGCCGGCCUGCGCGGGUGACCGGCCACACUGGGACUGAGAUAAGGCCCAGCUUCCUACGGGAGGGAGCAGUGGGGAAUAUUGAUCAAGGGGCGCAAGCCUGAUGCAGCGACGCCGCGUGAGGGAUGACGGCCUUCGGGUUGUAUACCUCUUUCAGCACCGACGAAGCGCAAGUGACGGUAGGUGCAGAAGAAGGACCGGCCAACUACGUGCCAGCCGCCGCAGUAA
rnacentral:rRNA from 1 species